CCAGACUCCUACGGGAGGCAGCAGUGGGGAAUCUUCCGCAAUGGGCGAAAGCCUGACGGAGCAACGCCGCGUGAAGGAAGAAGGCUUUCGGGUUGUAAACUUCUUUUAAGAGGGAAGAGUAGAAGACGGUACCUCUUGAAUAAGCCACGGCUAACUACGUGCCAGCAGCCGCGGUAAUACGUAGGUGGCAAGCGUUGUCCGGAUUUACUGGGUGUAAAGGGCGUGUAGCCGGGCCGGCAAGUCAGAUGUGAAAUCCCAAGGCUCAACCUUGGAACUGCAUUUGAAACUGUUGGUCUUGAGUGAAGUAGAGGCAGGCGGAAUUCCUAGUGUAGCGGUGAAAUGCGUAGAUAUUAGGAGGAACACCAGUGGCGAAGGCGGCCUGCUGGGCUUUAACUGACGCUGAGGCUCGAAAGCGUGGGGAGCAAACAGGAUUAGAUACCCCAGUAAUA
rnacentral:rRNA from 1 species